ensembl:snoRNA small nucleolar RNA U109
GAGCAUGUAAAACCAAUGUCUACUCCUUAAACCAUUGGGAGGGACUAUAUAUGAAAACAUGCCAGAGUAACACUUGGGGUUUUCAGGGCCAUUGAUCUUGUAGAACUGGUCACUUGGUAGUAUUAAGACUCCAACAGAG